GCAAGAACAGCUCAAUCUGUAGACCACGAGACUCUUAAUCUCACGGUUGUGAGUUCGAGUCUCACAUUAGGCA